CCUACGGGAGGCAGCAGUAGGGAAUAUUGCUCAAUGGGGGCAACCCUGAAGCAGCAACGCCGCGUGGAGGAUGAAGGCUUUAGGAUUGUAAACUCCUUUUGUUAGAGAAGAUUAUGACGGUAUCUAACGAAUAAGCACCGGCUAACUGCGUGCCAGCAGCCGCGGUAAUACGGAGGGUGCAAGCGUUAUGCGGAAUGACUGGGCGUAAAGAGUGCGUAGGCGGGGUAAUAAGUCAGAUGUGAAAUCCUGUAGCUUAACCACAGAACUGCAUUUGAAACUGUUACUCUGGAGUGUAGGAGAGGUAGGCGGAAUUCGUGGUGUAGGGGUGAAAUGCGUAGAGAUCAGGAGGAACACUCAUUGCGAAGGCGGCCUGCUGGAACAUUACUGACGCUGAUGCACGAAAGCGUGGGGAGCAAACAGGAUUAGAUACCCCAGUAGUC
rnacentral:rRNA from 1 species